GACAUGUCUGCCUGGGUGCAAUGAAACACAGUGCAGCAGUUUCCUGACCUACUAAGUGGCAGAGCCUUGUUGCCUGGUGUCUACAAAUUGUGUCACAGGAUUCGCAUGAGGAUAUGCCGAAGAUUUGGCAACAAUUCCAGGAAGAAAUGUAAAAUACUCAUUCCAGAGUGAGUACUUACUGAUUAAGAGCUAGGAUUAGAAUAAUGUUGGUAACACACCAGUGUUUUAAUUGUUGCUGAGCAGCACCUACGCUAAGUCAAGGACUUUAAGGACUUUUCAUCUUCUCAUGAUGCACCACCAGUGAAGAGACUUGGGAGCACCAAAAGCUGAAAGGACACAGAAAGAGCAGUUGACCAAACCUGAGGGAUGUCCAGUACACCUGGAAUCAAUUACCCAGGUGUGGAAACACAACCCCACCAUCUGCCAUCCACUGAUCCAGGUUGAACUGGAAAAGAGUGAAACUCUGGAACACCCACAGUAGGUUGAUCAUAUCAUUGUGUGAGGCAAUACAGCAACAGAAAUUUUUGGAAAAGGAAAGAAAAUAAUACAAACUUUUCUGAAAGCUAAUCUGAUUUUGCCAAAGUUCAAGUGAUCUGCACAGGACAUCUAAUUUUUAUGAAUAAAAUUGUUAGCAUCCAGCAUCAAGAUGAACAUCGCAAAUCCCAUUGGAUGUGAUCAACAAAACAAAACAACAUCUUCACCAACUAGCAAAGAGAAGGCACAAGCUCUUUUAGGCAUUCUGGGUUUAUGGGGCAUGCAUACUCUAAAUUUCAGCCUGAUUGAAAGCCUACUUUAUCCAGUAACCCAAAAAAAGAACAAUUUCUAAUUUCAAGUGGGACCCUGAGCAACAAGAUUUUGAACAAAUCAAACAGGAAAUCAAGCAGCAACUCUUGAGUCAGUUGGUGAAGACAAGAUGUAAGAUAUGUGCCCUGCACCACAGCCAGGGAGAAUAGCCCUACUGGCAACAUCUGUCAGAAAGCACUUGAGGUGAAACCCUAGGUUUUUGGAUUUGGGGAUACACCCGACAUGAAAUCCAUUAUAAUCCAACGGAAAAA